GGAGCGGCAGCGGUAACGCGGACCAGGUGGGCAGUUUUGCCAUAACUCCAUAUUAUUCCUAAUGGGAAGAGUAAGAAAAAUUCAGUGAUCAAUUUUCUGGAAAUUUAACUAACAUUGUGCAGUGUUAGCAAGAACUCUCCUGGUCCCCUGGAGUUAAUAUGUGUGGGGAACCAAUGGACAAUAAUUCCAAGAUUAAUUGACCUGGAAAUAAAAAGAAUGCAUAAUUUAAAAAUAUUUGAUCAUACCAGCCUGUGCAAAGUGGAAGAGUAGAAGCAAAGUGGACCAAGUUGUACUAAUAUUUCACGAGGCUCUUGAGAAACAAAGACCUAUAGUUCUGUUUGUGGGACUGGACCAUGAGACACCACACCAAACUCCGAGACAGACAUUCCUGUGCUAGUAGCUGCAGCGAGUAGCUAUUUUUUACUAACUGUAAUGAUCAGUAUAUUUCUAAAUAAAUGUCUGUAGCUCUAGAUGUCUGUAACUCUGGACACAUGGACAGGUAUCAGGUAUUUCUUUUUUUUCCUGCUCUGGUGCAUGAUGUUUGCCAUUCUUAUCACUGCUGUUUGGCUCCUGUGCAGAACGAGUCAGAUAUCUCAGAGAAGUGGCCUUUGUUUGAACAGAGAUGGACUUGCCGAUAUAAAACAAGCAAACAUAAAGAUAG